rnacentral:rRNA from 1 species
AGUCGAGCGAGCUUGCCUAGAUGAUUUUAGUGCUUGCACUAAAUGACAUUUAAGACAAGCGAGCGGCGGACGGGUGAGUAACACGUGGGUAACCUGCCCAAGAGACUGGGAUAACACCUGGAAACAGAUGCUAAUACCGGAUAACAACACUAGACGCAUGUCUAGAGUUUGAAAGAUGGUUCUGCUAUCACUCUUGGAUGGACCUGCGGUGCAUUAGCUAGUUGGUAAGGUAACGACUUACCAAGGCAAUGAUGCAUAGCCGAGUUGAGAGACUGAUCGGCCACAUUGGGACUGAGACGCGGCCCAAACUCCUACGGGAGGCAGCAGUAGGGAAUCUUCCACAAUGGACGAAAGUCUGAUGGAGCAACGCCGCGUGAGUGAAGAAGGGUUUCGGCUCGUAAAGCUCUGUUGGUAGUGAAGAAAGAUAGAGGUAGUAACUGGCCUUUAUUUGACGGUAAUUACUUAGAAAGUCACGGCUAACUACGUGCCAGCAGCCGCGGUAAUACGUAGGUGGCAAGCGUUGUCCGGAUUUAUUGGGCGUAAAGCGAGUGCAGGCGGUUCAAUAAGUCUGAUGUGAAAGCCUUCGGCUCAACCGGAGAAUUGCAUCAGAAACUGUUGAACUUGAGUGCAGAAGAGGAGAGUGGAACUCCAUGUGUAGCGGUGGAAUGCGUAGAUAUAUGGAAGAACACCAGUGGCGAAGGCGGCUCUCUGGUCUGCAACUGACGCUGAGGCUCGAAAGCAUGGGUAGCGAACAGGAUUAGAUACCCUGGUAGUCCAUGCCGUAAACGAUGAGUGCUAAGUGUUUGGGAGUUUCCGCCUCUCAGUGCUGCAGCUAAC